rnacentral:rRNA from 1 species
CUGUGAAACAAGAUACAGGCUAGCGGCGGACGGGUGAGUAACACGUGGGUAACCUGCCCAAGAGAUCGGGAUAACACCUGGAAACAGAUGCUAAUACCGGAUAACAACAGAUGAUGCCUAUCAACUGUUUAAAAGAUGGUUCUGCUAUCACUCUUGGAUGGACCUGCGGUGCAUUAGCUAGUUGGUAGGGUAACGGCCUACCAAGGCGAUGAUGCAUAGCCGAGUUGAGAGACUGAUCGGCCACAUUGGGGCUGAGACACGGCCCAAACUCCCACGGGAGGCAGCAGUAGGGAAUCUUCCACAAUGGACGCAAGUCUGAUGGAGCAACGCCGCGUGAGUGAAGAAGGGUUUCGGCUCGUAAAGCUCUGUUGUUGGUGAAGAAGGACAGGGGUAGUAACUGACCUUUGUUUGACGGU